CCCUUAGAUGUUCUGGGCCGCACGCGCGCUACACUGAUUCAUGCAACAAGUUUUGUCCUUGGCUGAUAGGCCUGGGUAAUCUUUGAACGUGAAUCGUGAUGGGGAUAGAUGAUUGCAAUUAUUCAUCUUCAACGAGGAAUUCCUAGUAAACGCAAGUCAUCAGCUUGUAUUGAUUACGUCCCUGCCCUUUGUACACACCGCCCGUCGCACCUACCGAUUGAAUGGUCCGGUGAAAUCUUCGGAUCUGAGAGAUGUCUGAUUAAUUUCGGACGCCUUUUGGAAAAGUUGCUUAAACCUUACCAUUUAGAGGAAGGUGAAGUCGUAACA
rnacentral:rRNA from 1 species